UAGAAUUAAGUGGGAUUAGUUAACCUUAAGCUUACUUAAUUAGCCUAAGUUAAUUACAAGUAUAUAUAUGUGUUGAGAUGUGAUUAAACUCAUUUUGGACUAAAAAAUCUGCUGGGAAAGAGAGCUUUAGAGAGAGAAAACUUGAUUUUAGGGAGAGAAAAGGCUUGGAAGCUUGGAAUUGCUUGCAAGAUUGAAGGAUUAUGAAGAACAACUCAAGUUUUUGCUAGAAUUGGUGCAAUUGAGGACUCUAGGUAUGUAAUUGAACCUUAAUUUGUGAAUUGGAGUCUUCAAUGUGUGAGAUUUAAGAUUACAUGAUUAAAUGAAAGAAAUGAGCUUAAGAAGAAGAAUCUAAAUUCAAUUCUUGCAUGCAUGCAUAAUUUUGUUGUAUUCCAUCAUUUUGAGUAUGAUUUUUGUCAUCCAUGUUUAAAUUAAGGAUCAUACCUUAUAUGCAUUCAUGAAUUAUGAAGUUUUGAAGAUUAAUUCCAUGUUUUGAAAGUCUUGGAAGGGAAUUGAAGUUGGAUUGAUGCAUGUAUAGAAGUUUUGAUCUCAAUUUUGGCAAUUCAUAACACUUUUGAGCUUAUGGUUUCAAGUUGAGCUCAUACAUAUGUAUUUCCAUAUAUUUUCAAGAGUAUGGUUCAAACAUGCAAGCUUAUACACUUUGGAGUUGAGUUUUGAGAAAAGAGUUUAGAAAAUCUUGCAUGCAUGGGGGUUUAAGUUGACUUUUGGUUGAAACAAAGAGAUUUUGAGCAAAUGAUUUUUAAGGGGUCAAGUAGAUAUGUUUGCUAAAGCAAUUUUCUGUUUUUAAAUGAGGCAUGCAUGACCCAAGGCUUUGAAUUUGUGUUUGGAAGCCAAACAUUCUAUUUUGAAACCCAGAAAUUUCAUAGAUUGCUCGAGUGACCAAAUGGUGGCUCGAGCCAACAUUGCGAGCUCCCAGUACUUUUACAGUUUGCACAGUUGGCUCGAGCGACCAUAUUGUGGCUCGAGCGAACUAUGGCUCUAGAGACUAAAAGAUGGCUCUAGCCAUCAACUUAUUUUCAGCAUGUUUUCAAAAAACGUUUUAAGUUCUUAUCUUUAUUUUCAUCUCUUUCUGGGCAUUCUUAGUCAUGAAUUAUGACUUAUUAUGGAUUAGUAAGCUAAGAAACAACAUAAAUAAAUGAUUAGGAAACAGGAAAUAUUUAUUCGGUUUGAAUGUUGAUUUUCAUCCUUUGAGCAUGAAUCUUGUAAUCUAUGUUUUUGAAAGAGUUUCUAAGUGUUUUUUUGUAGUUGUGAAUAAGCCAUGCAAGUCCAUGAUUUGAAACUGUGUUUGAAGUUAAACCCUGUUCUGGAAAUUAUAGGAUUUUGCCUCACCGCUCGAGCGCACUUUGCAUGCAUCCAAUACUUUUGUAGACCUAGUGGUCCGCUCGAGCGAUCAAUGUUGCGCUUGAGCAAAGUGUCCUGUUUCAAAAAAUUUGAAAAGCCAUAUUUUGUUCCAAAUUCCGUUUUCAUUCCUUUUUGAACACUCUUAAGCAUACAUUGAGCAUUUUAAAUGAAUUGAAAGGUUAGAAAGAUCCUAAGAGAAUUAAACAAGUUAAGGAGCAGAUUGAAUAGCAUUGUGAUCCAACUUUUGUAUGUUUAUGAAUUGUGUAGGAGCAUCCACGAGGAUGAAUCAACACUCCAAACACUGUGAGCAGCGGGACGUCCAACCCCAGCCUUAGUGACAUUGUAAAAGGUUACCGAUAUUUUGGAGUUAGCCAAGGUUGCUUCACGCAAGAGGCUUUUGUUUUGAUUUUCUUUUGUUUACUUUUGAUGGUCAUGUAUGACCAGAUCUGUAUAUAAACGUUGGUUUUUGGUUUGCCAGUUUUUGAAUGAUCCUAGACAUGUAUAAUCUUUUAUGUUCUGUUGGGUGUGAGUUAUUAUACAAGCAAAAAGUUUUUGUUAUGCCAUA